rnacentral:siRNA from 1 species
UCCAAAACUGUAGACAUCAGCUU